UGGGGAAUAUUGCACAAUGGGCGCAAGCCUGAUGCAGCGACGCCGCGUGGGGGAUGACGGCCUUCGGGUUGUAAACUCCUUUCGCUAGGGACGAAGCUUUUUGUGACGGUACCUCGAUAAGUAGCACCGGCUAACUACGUGCCAGCAGCCGCGGUAAUACGUAGGGUGCGAGCGUUUUCCGGAAUUUCUGGGCGUAAAGGGGUCGUAGGUGGGUUGUCGCGUCGUCUGUGAAAUUCCGGGGCUUAACUCCGGGCGUGCAGGCGAUACGUGCAUAACUUGAGUACUGUAGGGGUAACUGGAAUUCCUGGUGGAGCGGUGAAAUGCGCAGAUAUCAGGAGGAACACCGAUGGCGAAGGCAGGUUACUGGGCAGUUACUGACGCUGAGGAGCGAAAGCAUGGGUAGCGAACAGG
rnacentral:rRNA from 1 species